rnacentral:rRNA from 1 species
UACAGAGGGUGCGAGCGUUAAUCGGAAUUACUGGGCGUAAAGCGUGCGUAGACGGCUAUCUAAGUCGGGUGUGAAAGCCCCGGGCUCAACCUGGGAAUUGCAUUCGAGACUGAAUAGUUAGGGUACGGUAGAGGGAAGUGGAAUUUCCGGUGUAGCGGUGAAAUGCGUAGAUAUCGGAAGGAACAUCAGUGGCGAAAGCGACUUCCUGGACCAGUACCGACGUUCAGGCACGAAAGCGUGGGGAGCAAACAGGA